rnacentral:rRNA from 1 species
CCUACGGGAGGCAGCAGUGGGGAAUUUUGGACAAUGGGGGCAACCCUGAUCCAGCCAUUCCGCGUGAGUGAAGAAGGCCUUCGGGUUGUAAAGCUCUUUCGCAAGGGAAGAAAACUUAUGAUCGAAUAAAUCAUGAGGUUGACGGUACCUUGAUAAGAAGCACCGGCUAACUACGUGCCAGCAGCCGCGGUAAUACGUAGGGUGCGAGCGUUAAUCGGAAUUACUGGGCGUAAAGCGUGCGCAGGCGGUUUUGUAAGUCGGAUGUGAAAUCCCCGGGCUCAACCUGGGAACUGCGUUCGAAACUGCAAGGCUAGAGUGUGUCAGAGGGGGGUAGAAUUCCACGUGUAGCAGUGAAAUGCGUAGAGAUGUGGAGGAAUACCAAUGGCGAAGGCAGCCCCCUGGGAUAACACUGACGCUCAUGCACGAAAGCGUGGGGAGCAAACAGGAUUAGAUACCCUGGUAGUCCACGCCCUAAACGAUGUCAACUAGUUGUUGGUAGAGUAAAAUCUAUGAGUAACGUAGCUAACGCGUGAAGUUGACCGCCUGGGGAUACGGUCGCAAGAUUAAAACUCAAAGGAAUUGACGGCUGAGACNGCGAGACGACGACGAGGGAGGAGG